AUUGAACGCUGGCGGCAGGCCUAACACAUGCGAGUCGAGCGGAUGAAGGGAGCUUGCUCCUGGAUUCAGCGGCGGACGGGUGAGUAAUGCCUAGGAAUCUGCCUGGUAGUGGGGGAUAACGUCCGGAAACGGGCGCUAAUACCGCAUACGUCCUGAGGGAGAAAGUGGGGGAUCUUCGGACCUCACGCUAUCAGAUGAGCCUAGGUCGGAUUAGCUAGUUGGUGGGGUAAAGGCCUACCAAGGCGACGAUCCGUAACUGGUCUGAGAGGAUGAUCAGUCACACUGGAACUGAGACACGGUCCAGACUCCUACGGGAGGCAGCAGUGGGGAAUAUUGGACAAUGGGCGAAAGCCUGAUCCAGCCAUGCCGCGUGUGUGAAGAAGGUCUUCGGAUUGUAAAGCACUUUAAGUUGGGAGGAAGGGCAGUAAGUUAAUACCUUGCUGUUUUGACGUUACCAACAGAAUAAGCACCGGCUAGCUUCGUG
rnacentral:rRNA from 1 species